GCUAGACUGAGCGGGCAGUUGGUUCGCCCGCCCUGCCAGGACGGGUGACGAAAGAGGGAACCCGGUGCGACUCCGGGACUGCCCC
rnacentral:tRNA from 1 species